AAGAAUACUGAAAACUUAAAACUUAAAACUAGUAGUCUUGAAUUAUCCAGAAAAAACUUAAAACAUAACAAACGAUUAUCAAUUUGUCAAACAAUAACUACUAGACAACUAUGGCUCGACAUCUAUCAUCUUCGUAUUCUCUGAUGGAAUGAAGGUGCAUUUAGGCCCAGGCAGAUCCCGAGUGUAACUAAGAUAUCCAUUAGAUGCCUUGUUCACUCCAUAAUUCCAUAACAAUGACGUGUAUCUGAUACGAUGCAACCCCGAAUUAAACUCUGAAGAAGGUAUUGAAUCCCAUCACUUAAAAACACAGCAUAUGCCUCAAUAAAUAAUCCAAAAUCCCUACAAAAUAUCUUGAUUUUGACCCAAAACAGGUGUUGCAGAAGAUUUUGAUUCCUUUAUCUUUCAGAACUUCUGUAAGUCUGUCUACUACAUUGAGCUUGUGAGCACUGUCAUAUCUUAAGUUGUGGUAAGAUCGAUUUUUUACAACUAAAUUAAAAUUUUGCCAAAAACAAAUAUUGAGAAUAACACAAAUUAAACAAUGAUUCAUAUGUUAAAUAUAUCACCUAUAUAUAAAUGAAUCUAAAAAUAUAAUAAGUAUAAAAAAAGUUAAGACAUAUAUAUCACCAAUAAUCUAAUUGUCAAUGUAUCACUCUUACACUGUCAAACAAAAUGUAUCACCAAUAAUAUAACAACAAAUGUAUCACUAACAGUGUCAACAAAAUGUAUCACCCAUUUAUUGAUAUAACAAAUGUAUCAUUCAUAUGAAUCACCAUUACACUCAUAUAGAGAUAACAAACGUAUCAUUCAUAUGAUUCAAUAUUAUCCUAUGAAAAUGUAAUGAAAAAUUAACAAUUUUAUAUAUGUAUCAAGCGCGUCUUUAAAAAAAAUAUGUAUCACCUAUAUGUAUUAUUGACGAAUCCAAUAGUUGAUUUAGUGAAAAAUUAGGGAUCUGCUCUACUUUUCCUGAUCUUCCAUUUGCAUGUCCAAUUCUUAAAUUACUGCAGCAAAAUCUUUUCUAAUAUUCUUCAUUUUUUCUGGAUCAUUACGAUGCUUUGACCUAUUUCCAGAAAAAUUAAAAAAAAAUGUUGAAAUCCGAAAAUCUCAAAAAAAAAAAAAAGAAAUUUAUCUCGUUUUUGUAUUUGAGCUGAUAGUUGAGACUUAGAUUUAGGAUAUUUUAGUGUGUUUUGUUGCUUCUUGUGUUAGUCCCUUCUUCACUAACACUUAUAGAGUCUAGAACUAAAUUUUGAGUCAUUUUCAAGUAAUUUUUGAACUUUGAAGGUUGCUGUUUUUUGAGGAUUGGUGGCUUGAAAGAGUGUUAUUGCAGUUUGUUGUUGAGAUUGUGGCUUAAAAGCGUUGUUUUUUUAUGUUGUUGUUGAGGGUUGGAGCUUGAAAAAUGUGUUUUUGAUGUGUGGGAUCCAACUUGAACCAUAGAACUUGUCACGACCCGAUUUCUCAAAUCGUGAUGGCGCCUACCUUAUCCCACCAGUAGGCAAGCCAAACCAUAGCCCGGAAUGAUAGGUAAUGGGCUAUUAGGCAGAGACAAAAUAAAAGAUCGCGUAUGAUAAUAACAACCUCAAUAAUAGGUGAAAACUAAGAAGAAAGCAUAUGUAUUAUAUCAAAAUGAGAGGAGGAAAAAGGACCAGCUAUACAAAUGAAUCCCUCCCAAGACCUGAUAAGGUCAGUACUAGAGCCACUACUAACAGGUACCCAGAGUACGAGACAAAAAUCUAAAAUGUACACAAGUAAUCUCAAGUGAAAAAAACUAACUAGGGUAGAUACAGGAGGAUCAGCCUCGGACGACAUUAAGAUUACCCCGCUCUAAACCAGCACUGAAAGGUAAGAACCAUGUCAAUGCCGACUGCUAGUACCUGGAUCUGCAUCAGGAAAAGGAUGCAGAAGUGUAGUAUGAGUACCAAAAACAACGGGUACUCAGUAGGCAUCAUCGGUCGACUGAGCUUAAUACAGAAAAGGUGUAACUACAAUGCAAGGACGCAAUCUGAGUUAUUAGUAAAUAGGGAUGGAAAGCUAAAUAACUACCAAGCUAUGCAACAGCUGUAAAGGAAUAAACUUGUGCAAUACAGAAAAAAAUAAUGAUGCAGUAGUAAAAAAUAAAUCAAACAUAACCUAAUUGAGCCCACAUAAGCCCACUAGGCACAUUAAAGAAGACAAUUAACCCAACUGUACCCCCAUAAGCCGGUGGGACACACAAGUGAUGAAAGUAAACAUAAAUAAUCAGAUGCCGGACUCGAACCGGAUCUCAGAGUAACCCCAACUAUAAUCAAAUGCCGGACUCAAAUCCAAGCUCAUAGUAUCAUAAUAAUCAAUUGCCGGACUCGAACCGACACUUAUAGUAACCAUAACCCACCGAUAAUAUUAAAAUCCAUAUCAUAACAAUAUAAAUGUCUAAAUAAUCAUUCAUUAAUCUUAAUUAAAAAGGGAUAAAUUCAAAUUUUUGCAAUUUAGUUUCACGUUCUAAAGUAAUAGAUGCUAUAUUAUGCUAAAAGAUAAUUUUUCAAUAUUUACUAGAAUGAGGCCCUAAUCCGAAUAAAUAAGACAGUUUAUAUAAAUCCAAUAAUAUGCAUCUACAAGUAUUUAUUCAAAACUAGCAUAAUAGUUCACAAUUUCGGUAUAUAAGCUCAAUCUAAAAGUAGGUAAACCUAGCCUACCUGGACGCCAAAGCUAGAAUAUCUGUCCGCGAAACCUCCGAAUAAUACUAGUAGAACCCGAGCGAGAGAUGCGCGGUAUAUGAUUACAUAUAAGAAUACUAGUACUAGAUUUGCCUUUUUGGUUAAAAAAAGAUUUUCUCUCUUUAUGGAAAGACACUACCAAGUAUGUAUAUAUAUAGAUGUAUAAGAAAAAAGAUAGGCCUUAAUCAAGUGGCACAUGUAGGGCUGUCACCAAGUAAAAUGUUGCUAUCCACAUAUCAAUUUCCACGUGUGGUGGUCAAAAACCACAAGUGAUAAUUUUCUACACUGCGUAGAUAUAUUCGGGUAUUGCCUAAAUUUGUGGUAAAGUAAUUAUAAUAUUUUGAAUAUACCAUAUUUAAUAAAAAAUUAUUUCUAACAAAACCUAUAUUAUAUAAUAAUAAUAUUUUAAUAUUUUUAAAUUUACUAUCUCCGCAUAAAAUAUUAAUAAAUCACAAAAAAAAAUUAUUAUAAAAUAAUGUAAAUAUAUCAUCACUUAAAGAAUGUUAUCAAUAUCAAAAAUAUUCUAGAAAGGUACUAAUUUAUAUUUCUACCAAAUGCCAAAUUAAAUUAAAUAAUCCACGAUACAUUUAAAUAGUACUAAAAUUAUAUGAAAAUACAGAGAAAUGACCGUAAGGGUCAUUACAACAUCCACUACUAAAAGGACGUUCCUCCGCAAAAGUAAAAGAUAAAGCCAUACCUGAAGGCUCAAACAGGUAGGGAUACUGGGCGCGCAUAUCACGCUCGAUCUCCCAGGUAGCCUCCUCAAUUUGACGGUGACGCCACUGAACCUUAACUACCGGAAUAUCCUUGGAGCGCAACCGUCUAACAUCCCUCACCAAAAUAGACGUUGGCUCCUCUACAAACGCCAUUCCCUCGUCCAACUGAACUGAGUCCCACUGAAGUACGUGUGACUCAUCUGGGAUAUACUGCCGCAACAUAAAUACAUGAAACACCGGGUGAAUGGCUGAGAAGGCAGGUGGCAAUGCCAACACAUAAGCUACCUCCCCAACUCCCUGUAGGAUGUCAAAAGGUCCAAUAUAUCUAGGGCUAAGCUUGCCCCUCCUCCCGAACCUCAUCACGCCUUUCAUGGGUGAUACUCGCAGGAAGACCCUAUCACCAACUCUGAAACUCAAUGGACGACGUCUGCGAUCAGCAUAACUCCUCUGUCUGCUCUGAGCUGCUCGUAGCAUAUCCUGAAUCACUCAAACAUGAUCCAACGAAUCACGAAGCAAAUCUGUUCCACGAGGUCUAGCCUCAGAAGUCUCAAACCAACCAACAGGAGAUCGAUAUCUCCUACCAUACAAUGCCUCAAAAGGGGCAAUCUGAAUACUCAAGUGAAAGCUGUUAUUAUAAGCAAACUCUGCCAAAGGUAGAAACUGGUCCCACUGACUCCCAAAAUCCAACAUACAAGCGCGGAGCAUAUCCUCUAGAACCUAGAUAGUCCGCUCUGACUUCCCAUCAGUCUGGGGAUGAAAGGUUGUACUAAGGUCAAACUGGGUCCCCAACUCCUCCUGAAAUGCCCUCCAAAAGCUAGAAGUGAACUGAGAGCCUCGGUCCAAAAUAAUGGACACAGGGACCCCAUGUAGGCGAACCCCCUCGUGAAUGUAAACACGAGCUAACCUCUCGGCACUGUAGGAAACUCGAAUGGGGAUAAAAUGUGCAAACUUGGUCAAUCGAUCCACAAUGACUCAAAUGCUAUCAAAACAAUGCGAUGUACGAGGCAAUCCACCUACGAAAUCUAUAGUAACUUGCUCCCAUUUCCACUCGGGAAUGGGUAGCUGCAGAAGAAAUCCACCAGGUCUCUGAUGGUCAGCCUUUACUUGCUGACAACAAAGACAUCGAGCCACAAACCCUACUAUAUCUCUUCGCAUACCACUCCACCAAUAAUGUUGCCUCAAAUCCCUAUACAUCUUAGCUGUCUCGGGGUGAAUAGAGUAUCUGGAGCUAUGAGCCUCACGAAGAAUCAACUGGAUCAAAUCUCUAACCUUUGGAACACAAAUACGAUCGUCAAACCUUAAGACAACCUCAGAAUCUAGGGUAGCCCGCUGAGACUCACCCCUCAACAUCUGCUCUCGAAGGCUGCGAAGCCUGUCAUCCUCGAACUGACGUCUCUAAAUCUUCUCGAACAAGGUAGAUCUAGCCUCAACACUAGCAAUGAUUCUCCGAGGGUCAGAAAUAUCUAAACGAACCAUCAUGUUAGCUAAGGACUGAAUGUCCAAAGCCAACGGCCACUGAGAAUCUGAAAUGAAAGCUAAGCUACCCAUACUUACUGACUUCUAACUGAAGGCAUCCGCUACCAUAUUCGUCUUGCCCGGAUGGUAGAGAAUAGAGAUAUCAUAGUCUUUUAGCAACUCAAUCCACCUGCGCUGCCUCGAAUUAAGCUCCUUCUGGGUCAUAAUAUACUGAAGACUAUGGUGAUCAGUAAAUAUCUCACAGCGGGCCCCAUACAAAUAAUGCCUCCAAAUCCUAAGUGCAAAUACUACCGCUGCCAACUCUAAGUCAUGAGUUGGGUAAUUGUGCUCAUGCACCUUCAACUGCCUUGACGCAUAUGUAAUAACACGGGCACGCUGCAUCAAAACACACCUCAACCCAACACCAGAUGCAUCGCAAUAAACAGUAAAACCCUCGCCCUCGACAAGAAGAGUCAGAAUAGAAGCUAAAGUAAGCAAAUUCUUGAGCUUCAUAAAGCUUGCCUCAUAACUUGCAGACCACUGAAACAGAACCUCCUUCCUGGUCAAUCUAGUCAUAGGGGCUGCAAUAGAAGAAAAAACUUCAAUGAACCACCUGUAGUAACCUGCCAACCUAAUAAAGAUGCGAACCUCAGAAGGUAACGUAGGCCUAGCCCAACUACGAAUAGCCUCAAUCUUGGCUGGGUCCACCAUAAUACCGUCCUUGGACGCUACGUGCCCUAAGAAAGCUAGAGACUCAAGCCAAAACUCAUAUUUUGAGAACUUGGCAUAAAUCCUGUGGUCUCUCAAAGUGCGAAGUAUAGUCUUCAAAUGCUACUCGUGCUCCUCCUUACUCCUCGAAUAUACCAAAAUAUCAUCAAUAAAUACUAUCACGAAGGAGUCCAAAUAUGGCAUGAACACGUGAUUCAUCAGAUCCAUAAAAGCUGCUGGAGCAUUGGUCAACCCAAAAGACAUCACUAGGAACUCAUAAUGACCAUAACGACUCCUGAAGGCUGUCUUAGGGAUGUCCGCAGCCCGAACUCUCAACUGAUGGUAAUCGAAACUCAAAUCAAUCUUAGAAAACACCGCCGCACCCUGAAGCUGAUCAAACAAAUCAUCGAUGUGAGGCAUAGGAUACUUAUUCUUUACAGUAGCCUUAUUCAACUGCCUGUAGUCGAUACACAUACGCAAGGAGCCAUCUUUCUUCUUCACAAACAAAACUGGAGCACCCCAAAGAGAUACACUCGAUCUGAUAAAUCCCUUACCCAGAAGAUCCUAAAGUUGACUAUGCGGCUCUUUCAACUCAGCAGGAGCCAUACGAUACGGAGCCAUAGAAAUAGGUCGGGUGCCAGGCUCGAGAUCAAUAAUAAACUCUAUAUCACGCUCAGGAGGAAGGCCAGGUAGGUCGGUCGGAAAUACAUCAGAAAACUCGCGAACAACAGGGACGGAGUCAAGUGGGGAACUCUCAAUACUAACAUCCCAUAUAUAUGCAAGAAAAGACUCACAACCCCUCGAUAUCAAUCUCCUAGCCCGAAUGUAUGAAAUAAUCCCCGUCGGUGUGCGGCUAACAGAACCCUGCCACACAACUGGGGGUACUCCAAGCAAAGAUAAGGUAACGGUCUUAGCAAAAUAAUCCAAGACCGCACGGUAAGGAGACAACCAAUUCAUACCUAGAAUCACGUCAAAAUCUACCAUAUCUAGGACAAUAAGGUCAAUAUGAGUAUCAAACUCCCGAAUAGUAACCAAACAAGAUCUAUAUACCCGAUCCACUACUAAAGAGUCACCCACUGGGGCAGCCACACGUAACGGCAUAGAUAAAGACUUCGAACAUAAACCCAGUCGCGAUGCAAAAUAAGUAGAACUACAUAAAAAAGUGGAACCGGGAUCAAACAAAGCAGAAGUUGACUGAUGGAACACGGAAAUCGUACUUGUGAUCACAGUAUUCGAAGCCUCAGCCCCUGAUCUACUUGGAACUGCAUACAAAUUACCCUGUCCACUACUAGACUGGGUAUCUGCCCUACCUCCCUGCAGACCACCUCUAGAACCCUGGGAACCACCUCUAUGACCCUGUAUACCAUCCCUACCUAACGGGGGCACUGAUUUGAUCGGCUGCACAGCCAAAAUUGGAGGCUCAAUCAUCCUACGCCGAGGACACUCACAAGCUAAGUGACCAAUAAAUUCGCAGUCAUAACAUGCCCCAGGCACCCUGCUCUGACUAGAAGGUCCAGCGAAUCCAGAAUGACCACCCCUACUCGACGAUCCUGAUGAACAACCCUCUGCGGCUGGCUGCUACUCUGACCACUGGAACUACAAUAGACUGGCUGACCCCUGUCGGAUAUCUACAGCGAUGCCUUAACUGGCCGACUAGGUUGACCCUAAUACUAAGAAGACUGCUGAUGAGGGUACCGACUGUGAAAUCCUCGGCCUGAGGACUGUGAACCACUCUAACUACCCUGGUAGCGUGGUCUCUUAUCGCUGCCCCCUUGGGUCUCACGAUCCAUAUCCUCUAUGGAAUAAACAUGCUAGGCUAUCUCUGAAAAAGACUUCCCUAAAGUCACCAAACUCUGUGUAGCUCUACGGAGUGACAAUCUCAAUCCCCUAAUAAAGCAUCGACUCCGCUCAUACUCCGUAUCCAGAAUCAUAGUGGCGUGUCUGGCUAACUCAUGGAAUCUCACCUCAUACUCAGCCACCAUCAUAGAGCCCUGUCUCAAUGCGGUAAACUCAUCCCGGAGAUGCUCACGCAUGCUAUGAGAUAUAUACUUCUCCAAGAAAGCCUCGAAGAACUAAGUCCAAGUCACUGGUGGAGAUCCAACUGGCCUGGAAUCAAGAUAACCUGCCCACCACCUCCUCACUGCCAUGUCGAACUGCUAAGAAACAAAGUCUACUCCUCGUGCCUCAACCAGUCCCAAAUUCCGCAACCGUUGCUCGCAACUGGAUAGGAACUCAUAAGCAUCCUCUCUCGGGGUCCCGACAAACCUGGGUGGAGUCAAUCUCAAAAAUCAAUCCAACAUCUUCUGCUCCUCUGUAGACAUAAAUGGUUGGGCUACUACCGGCUGUGGGACUACUGGUGCUGGCGAAACCUCUAACCUAGGUGCCGCUGCCGCAGGCUGUGCCCCUAAAUUUACACCACUCUGUCCUGUUGGCUGAACUCUCAUGACCGGUGGACCACCAACUAACCCCAAUAACUGAACUAAUGUAUCCCGAAUAACCAAAGAAGAUAUAAAUCUGGGUGGAGCCUGGGCUGCCCCCUGGCCCACCUGUUGAUGUGGCGGAAUAUCUAGAGCUAUCUCAAUCCCCAAAGCUAUAACAGGAUCAGGUGCUGGAUCCCUGACCUGAUCUCGAAUAGGGGCUGCUGCUCUACCCUGCCCCUGAUAUCUGGGUCGACCUCGACCCCAAGAUAAAACUCUAGAAGCGGACCCGCGGUCCCGAUCCCCUACUCUUAAACCUCGUGUCCUAGCCAUCUGCGUAAAGAGUGAACCAAUAAAAAGAUUACAACUUAACCAGACUCAAUGCAUAAAAUGGAUCAAGAAAAUAUGAUUAUUUUCCCUAAAAAUUCUUUGUAGCCUCUCAAGGAUAGGAUACAGACGUCUUCGUACCGAUCCGUGGGACUCUACUAAACAUCGACUCCAGUACUAAUAAAACCAGUGUGACCUAAGCUCUGAUACCAACUUGUCAUGACCCGAUUUCUCAAAUCGUGAUGGCGCCUACCUUAUCCCACCAGUAGGCAAGCCAAACCAUAGCCCGGAAUGAUAGGUAAUGGGCUAUUAGGCAGAGACAAAAUAAAAGAUCGCGUAUGAUAAUAACAACCUCAAUAAUAGGUGAAAACUAAGAAGAAAGCAUAUGUAUUAUAUCAAAACGAGAGGAGGAAAAAAGACCAGCUAUACAAAUGAAUCCCUCCCAAGACCUGAUAAGGUCAGUACUAGAGCCACUACUAACAGGUACCCAGAGUAAUAAACAAAAAUCUAAAAUGUACACAAGUAGUCUCGAGUGAAAAAGACUAACUAGGGUAGAUAGAGAAGGAUCAGCCUCGGACGACAGUAAGCUCACCCCGCUCUAAACAAGCACUGAAAGGUAAGAACCACGUCAACGCCGACUGCUAGUACCCGAAUCUGCAUCAGCAAAAAGAUGCAGAAGUGUAAUAUGAGUACCAAAAACAACGGGUACUCAGUAGGCAUCAUUGGCCGACUAAGCUUAAUACAGAAAAGGUGUAACUGUAAUGCAAGGACGUAAUCUGAGUUAUUAGUAAAUAGAGAUGGAAAGGUAAACAACUACCAAGCUAUGCAACUGCUGUAAAGGAAUAAACUUGUGCAAUACAGAAAAAAAUAAUGAUGCAGUAAUAACAAAUAAAUCAAACAUAACCUAACUGAGCCCACAUAAGCCCGCUAGGCACACUGAAGAAGACAAUUAACCCAACCGUACCCCCAUAAGCCGGUGGGACACACAAGUGAUGAAAGUAAACAUAAAUAAUCAGAUACCGAACUCGAACCGGAACUCAGAGUAACCCCAACUAUAAUCAAAUGCCGGACUCGAACCGGUGCUCAUAGUAUCAUAAUAAUCAAUUGUCGGACUCGAACCAGAACUCAUAGUAAUCAUAAUAAUCAAUUGCCGGACUCGAACCGGAACUUAUAGUAACCAUAACCCACCGAUAAUAUUAAAAUCCAUAUCAUAACAAUAUAAAUGUCUAAAUAAUCAUUCAUUAAUCUUAAUUAAAAAGGAAUAAAUUCAAGACUUUUGCAUUUUAGCUUCACGUUUUAAAGUAAUAAAUGUUAUAUUAUGUUAAAAGAUAAUAUUUCAAUAUUUACUAGAACGAGGCCCUAAUCCAGAUAAAUAAGACUGUUUAUAUAAAUCAAAUAAUAUGCAUCUACAAGUAUUUAUUCAAAGCUAGCAUAAUAGUUCACAAUUUCGGUAUAUAAGCUCAAUCUAAAAGUAGGUAAACCUAGCCUACUUGGACGCCAAAGCUAGAAUAUUUGUCUGCGAAGCCUCCGAAUAAUACUAGUAGAACCCGAGCUUGAAAUAAUUGAUUUGGAUAAUUAAUCUUUAAUUUGAUGCUCAAAUGAUGCCAAAUUAUUUUAGCCCAUAAAC
rnacentral:lncRNA from 1 species